rnacentral:rRNA from 1 species
GGCCGCAGUAUUUUGACUGUGCAAAGGUAGCAUAAUCAUUAGUCUUUUAAUUGGAGGCUGGAAUGAAUGGUUGGACAAGGUAAAUAUUGUAUUAAUUUAAUAUUAUAGAAUUUAGAUUUUGAGUAAAAAGACUUAAAUAUUAUUGAGGGACGAGAAGACCCUAUAGAGUUUAAUAGUAUUUUAUUUGUAUAUGGUUUAAGAUUAUUAUGUUGUGUAAAUGAAGUACUAUUUGGUUGGGGUGAUUAGAAAAUAGAUGAAACUUUUUUUUAUAUUGAAUGUAAAUAAAUAGAUUAUUGAUCCAUAAUUUGUGAUUAUAAGAUUAAAUUACCUUAGGGAUAACAGCAUAA